AAACUAACAAGGAUUCCCCUAGUAGCGGCGAGUGAAGCGGGAAGAGCUCAAAUUUGAAAUCUGGCGUCCUUCGGGCGUCCGAGUUGUAAUCUAUAGAAGCGUUUUCCGCGCUGGACCGUGUCUAAGUCCCUUGGAACAGGGUAUCAAAGAGGGUGAUAAUCCCGUACUUGACACGACCACCAGUGCUCUGUGAUACGUUCUCUACGAGUCGAGUUGUUUGGGAAUGCAGCUCAAAAUGGGUGGUAAAUUCCAUCUAAAGCUAAAUAUUGGCGAGAGACCGAUAGCGAACAAGUACCGUGAGGGAAAGAUGAAAAGCACUUUGGAAAGAGAGUUAAACAGUACGUGAAAUUGUUGAAAGGGAAACGAUUGAAGUCAGUCGUGUUCAUUGGACUCAGCCAGUUCUUCUGGUCUAUUUCCUUUGAACGGGUCAACAUCAGUUUUGUCCGGUGGAUAAAGGUAUUAGGAAUGUGGCUCUUUCGGGAGUGUUAUAGCCUAGUAUUGCAUACACUGGGGGAGACUGAGGACUGCAGCUCGCCUUUUGGCCGGGGUUCGCCCACGUUCGAGCUUAGGAUGUUGACAUAAUGGCUUUAAACGAC
rnacentral:rRNA from 1 species